GUCAGUGGAAAAAAUCCUAAUUUCCAAGGUUCUAAUGGCUGCAUGGACUGCUUCCAGUAGGACUGUGCACUUACACUAGAGAGAUUUAAAAGAGCUGAAAGAGCAGGCAACGGGACAGCAAGGAACCAGAAUGGCUGUCUUAAGAGGAAGAAGAAGACACUGAAACAAAGGGUGGAGUCCAGAGAAAAGACAGAAGAACAAGCCCAGAGGAUAAAGGCCAUAGAGAGAUUGUAAACCUAAAAGAAAGAGUAGCUAAUACCAACAUGCCCUAUGAGGAAAGGGAAAUCCCAAGUUAAACUUCUCUAUAUAAAAGAGAACUGUAAGGUAAGACUUUGAAGGAAUCAACGAUAGGAGGCAGCUAAAAAAUUAUGUUAGAAUUCAUGACCCUAUUUUAUAGUAAAGGAUAUGAUUCACCACCUUCCCAACCAGUAGAACCAGCAAAUUUUUCAUUGAUGGACUUUAUCAACUCCUUGGCAGAUCCAGGACCUAUGAGUAAAAAACCAAUGUCUUCUUAAAAGAGACUAGGGCCAGGACCCAAACCUACUCAAGCCCAGUUCUUAAUAGGACUGAGGAGUUUGGGGGCCUCAGAUCCCUCCAUGAUCUCUAGCAAUAAUUCCUGUAUCUAGCCACUACUGUGCAAAUACCAGGGUUCAUCCUAUGUCAACAUAACAAAAGCAACAGUGAGAUAAAGCCCUACCCUGAUUCCUUUGAGCAAAUUAUGGACACUCUCACCAAGAAUCAGACAGCCCCAUGCAUACCAUCUCUAUUCUGUGCAGUAUAUCAGAAUUUAAAGCCAGGUUUCAAUAAAAGACAGAGGACAGGAUGCAAGCCUCAGAAUAUUCAGGUACUUCAUGACACCUGCUUAACAACAUGAAUUUAACUCACCUUUGUCAAUGUCAAUGGGCUGAAAAGGGAAAAAAGAGCAUGGUCAGUAUCAAAUAUCAGAAAUAUCUACUUUUUAUUCUCAAUCUCAAUCUCAAUCACAUUUCACAAAUCUACUGUCCUUUCUAGCCUCUUCCCCUCUCAUCCACUCUUCCUAACUUCCACCAUCUUUCUGUUUUUUCCCCAUUCUGUUAGAAAGCUAAUAUGGAGAUAUUUUACUUUCCUCUAUGGCCAAAAAUUUUAUCAAGUAGGGCUGCCAUUCCUCUUUGUAUAAUAUCACCAUCCAGAAUACUCUCAAUGAUUCUGGAAAAACCUACUCCUAAUAGGUAUUCAACUAUUAGCCUCAUAUCACACUUUUUCCAGUCAUUGCUAUGAUUUAAGGAGUGGGCCUACUACCCUUAAAUCUCUCUCCUCUGCCUCUGAAUUUCCAUUAUCCCCCCCCAUAAGUUUGCAGAAACAAGAUGGAAACAGGAAAAAUGUUACUAACACAGAAUUUCCUGAUUAUAUUCCAGGAAGGUUCAGUUGCCACAGAAAUUAUAUUAGAUCCCUUCAAAGCAUUUUACAGGAAUUUCUGUCCUGAGAAUUUUAAGUAUUUAAAGUCAGUCUCAGUAAUUAGUCUAUCUUCCUGAAUGUGUUAAAAGAUUCUGGAACCCGUAUUAUGACUCACCUCAUCAUCCACUUUGGGCUUCUCAAAAUAGCUGUGUCGCUUCUUUUCCUCUUCCCUUUCCCGAUCCCGCUCUCUUUCUCGAUCCCUUUCCCGAUCCCGCUCUCUUUCUCUCUCCCGUUCUCGGUCCCGAUCCCGGUCUCGUUCCCGUUCACGAUAUCGUUCCCGUUCUUUUUCCCUUGGAACCUUAGUUGUUGAUGGUACAUAAUCUCCAAUGUCUUCAAAAAUGCUA